rnacentral:rRNA from 1 species
AGCGAACGCUGGCGGCAGGCCUAACACAUGCAAGUCGAACGAACCUUUCGGGGUUAGUGGCGGACGGGUGAGUAACAGGUUGGAACGUGCCUUUAGGUUUGGAAUAACUCAGGGAAACUUGUGCUAAUACCGAAGGUGCCCUUCCGUGGAAAGGUUAGUCGCCUCUAGAGCGUCCGGCGUCUGAUUAGCUAGUGGGUUGAGUUAAUGGCUUACGAAGGCGACGAUCAGUAGAUGGUCUGAGAGGAUGAGCAGACACAUUGGGAGUGAGACACGGCCGAAAAUACUACGGGAGGCAGGAGUGGGGAAUCUUGCGAAAUCGGGGAAAGGAUGAAGCAGCCAUGCCGCGUGAAUGAUGAAGGUUUGAGGAUUGUAAAAUUAUUUAACCGGGGACGAUAAUGACGGUACCCGGAGAAGAAGCCCCGGCUAACUUCGUG